GUGGGGAAUUUUGGACAAUGGGCGAAAGCCUGAUCCAGCAAUGCCGCGUGUGUGAAGAAGGCCUUCGGGUUGUAAAGCACUUUUGGCAGGGAAGAAACAGUGCGUGCUAAUACCAUGCGCGAAUGACGGUACCUGCAGAAUAAGCACCGGCUAACUACGUGCCAGCAGCCGCGGUAAUACGUAGGGUGCAAGCGUUAAUCGGAAUUACUGGACGUAAAGCGUGCGCAGGCGGCUUUGUAAGACGGAUGUGAAAGCCCCGGGCUCAACCUGGGAAGUGCAUUCGUGACUGCAAGGCUAGAGUGUGUCAGAGGGAGGUGGAAUUCCGCGUGUAGCAGUGAAAUGCGUAGAGAUGCGGAGGAACACCGAUGGCGAAGGCAGCCUCCUGGGAUAACACUGACGCUCAGGCACGAAAGCGUGGGGAGCAAACAGGAUUAGAAACCCUUGUAGUCC
rnacentral:rRNA from 1 species